GUUAGAUAAUAAACAGCAUCCCGUUUGAUUCGAUAAACUAACGAUGUCGUUAGAUUUUCGUAACAUUAUCAUUCAACUUUUCUGCGGAUAGAGCACUUCUAGAUGGAUGCACUGCUGUAUUUUUUAAAGAAUCUUCUGGAGACACACAGACCCACACAGAAAGAAAAUGAAGGAAGAAUAAAGUGGCUGCUGCUAUAUGGUAACUUGAGAAACUUAAACAUAUAACAACGUCCUAUAUUACUCUCUCUCUUUCUCUCUCUCUCUCUGGUUCGUCUCUAUAGUCCACGAGUUAGUAGUCUAUUCUUGGGCAUUAUAAAGAAGAAGAAGAACAGGAGGCUCGUCUUUUGCCUAGCUCGGUAUCUCAAUCCAUCGGCAGUUGGAAGGGAGGCUCAACAGCAGCUAACGACUUAUGGGACUCUCGGAUAAAACUUGGGGGUAGACAAAAAAAAAUACUAAACUCGGAGAAACAGAGAAAAGCCUCUUGUUUGAAAGAAAACUUUCAUCCGGAUUCCGACGGAAUUUUAAGAAGAGAACAAAAGCGAGUCCUCAAAAACAACCCUUUCUUGGAUUCCAUGUCGAGUUUCUUCUUGAGCUCCUUCUCUUUUGGGACGACAAAAGGAAAGGUUGGCGUGUGAUUUCCCUUUUUUCUCGGAUGAAUUUGAAUAAGUCGUCGUCAUAUUAUUUGUAUGCCCAAAUGUUUUCUUUUUACGUUUGGAAAUCCCCCCCCCCCCCCGUAAUAAUCUGAAUAAAUUGGGACACGACAAUUCCUGGCCAGGACUCGGGUAAUAAGCCAGGACGCCACACCCUGUCGAAGCUAGUGGUGCAAUCGAAAACCAGAAAGCUCUGUUAAUAAGUCGAACCAAAUCAAAUCCAAGAAUAAAAGAUACAUAUUAUCAUAUAA